rnacentral:rRNA from 1 species
UACGGAGGAUGCAAGCGUUAUCCGGAUUUAUUGGGUUUAAAGGGUGCGUAGGCGGGACAAUAAGUCAGCGGUGAAAGUUUGAGGCUCAACCUUAAAAUUGCCGUUGAAACUGUCGUUCUUGAGUAUAUUUGAAGUAGGCGGAAUUCGUAGUGUAGCGGUGAAAUGCAUAGAUAUUACGAAGAACUCCAAUUGCGAAGGCAGCUUACUAAACUAUAACUGACGCUGAAGCACGAAAGCGUGGGUAUCAAACAGG